AUUGAACGCUGGCGGCAGGCUUAACACAUGCAAGUCGAGCGGAGAUGAGGUGCUUGCACCUUAUCUUAGCGGCGGACGGGCGAGUAAUGCUUAGGAAUCUGCCUAUUAGUGGGGGACAACAUUCCGAAAGGAAUGCUAAUACCGCAUACGCCCUACGGGGGAAAGCAGGGGAUCUUCGGACCUUGCGCUAAUAGAUGAGCCUAAGUCGGAUUAGCUAGUUGGUGGGGUAAAGGCCUACCAAGGCGACGAUCUGUAGCGGGUCUGGGAGGAUGAUCCGCCACACUGGGACUGAGACACGGCCCAGACUCCUACGGGAGGCAGCAGUGGGGAAUAUUGGACAAUGGGCGGAAGCCUGAUCCAGCUAUGCCGCGUGUGUGAAGAAGGCCUUUUGGUUGUAAAGCACUUUAAGCGAGGAGGAGGCUACCUGGAUUAAUACUCUAGGAUAGUGGACGUUACUCGCAGAAUAAGCACCGGCUAACUCUGUGCCAGCAGCCGCCGUAAAAC
rnacentral:rRNA from 1 species